rnacentral:lncRNA from 1 species
UGACCCUUGAAUAACAUGAAUUUGAACUGCCUGAGUCUGCUAAUAUGUGGAUUAUCUUCUGCUUCUGCCACCCCGAGACAGUAAGACCAAUCCUUCCUCUUGCUUCUUUUCCUUAGCCUGUUCAACGUGAAGAUGACUAAGCUCCUACCAGAGGGGAGGAUUGCAUUUGCUUUUCACGGGGAUGCAUGAAGAAGUGAACCUGUGG